AUGGAGAAGAAACGGGUGGCCAUCAUUGGCGCCGGCAUGAGCGGCCUCACAGCUUGCAAGCACCUGCUUGAGCGUGGCUUCCGGCCACUCGUGUUCGAGGCCGAGGCCGACACCAUCGGCGACGUGCGGGCGCACCGGCACGCCUCGACGCGCCUCCAAACCCCACGGCCACAGUAUGAGUUCAUGGACUUCCUGUGGCCACCGAGCAUGUCGGAUUUGUACCCGGACCAUAACGAGGUCAUUGAGUACCUUCGCUGGUACGCAUGCCACUUUGGCUUGCUAGAGUGCAUCAGGUUCGGCAGCCGGGUUGCUGCUCUGGGGUACACCGGUGCUGAGGAGGAAAUGAUGGCUUGGGAACUAUGAGCCAGCAACGGCGAGGCGUUCGGCAGCGGUCAGGGCGAGUGGCGGCUCACCAUGCAGCACUGGAACGACGUUGAGGUCGGAUUGGCCAAUGUUGAUCAUUUAUGGCAUAUGUAGACACACGUGGCCGACUUCAUGGUGCCAUGCGUCGGAUGGUACAGCGGCAUCCCCAGUAUUCCAACUUUCCCACGGGAGAAAGGCCCAGAGGCCUUUAAUGGCACAGUGAUCCACUCCACGGAUCACACCAACAUGGACGAUGCAGAGGCCACCAAACUCAUCAAAGGCAAGCUCGUCACUGUCGUCGGCUACGAAAAGUCUACUCUCGACAUCACCACGGACUGUGCAAACAUGAACAGUCCGACGAAUCCUUGCACAAUGAUUAUUCGGACGAAGAGAUGGAUCAUCCCUGACUUCGACGCUUGGGGUGUCCCAGUUGCUUUCUUCAACUUCAAUCGCUUGUCCGAGCUCCUAGUUCACAAGCCAGGCGAGGGGCUGCUCCUUAGCUUGCUUGCUACCUUCUUGUCACCCUUGAGAUGGAUGUUAUCAAAGUUUGUUGAGAGCUUCUACAUGUGGGCAGUGCCCAUGAGGAAGCAUGGCAUCGUGCCGGAACAUAGCUUCUUCUAAGCUUUGAGCUCAUGGCUUAUUGCGGUAAUGCCAGACAAAUUCCAGGACAAGGUGGAUCAGGGAAGCAUUAUUCUCAAGAAAACAAAAAAAAAAAGCUUCUGUAGAGAUGGCAUCAUUGUAAAAGGUGAGUCUGCACUGAUCAAGAGAGACCUUGUGAUCUUUGCGACCGGAUAUAAUGGAGAUCAGAAGCUGAAAGAGUUGUUCGCCUCGCCUUUGUUCAGAGAAAUCGUUGUUGGCACACCAUCUAGUGCCAAUCACUACGGCAGGCAAUGUGUCCAUCCUAGGAUCCCCCAGUUAGCGAUCAUGGGCUACUGCGAGAAUGUGUCAAACCUGCACGCGUUCGAGCUGCGGUCAAAGUGGUUAGCACACUUCCUUCACGGCAGCUUCUGUUUGCCUAGUAUCCAAUCUAUGGAGGAGAAUAUAAUGGAGUGGGACAAGUAUAUGAAACGGUACGCUUCAAGCCACUUCCGUCGGUCGUGUAUUGCACUGGUCCACAUCCUGUGCAAUGAUCAGCUGUGUCAAGACAUGGGGAUUAAUUACCAGAGGAAAAAUGGAUUCCUGGCAGACUGGGUGCUUCCUUAUGGACCAGCAGAUUACAGCAGCAUCAACCGGCGGAAUAACUGA
rnacentral:rRNA from 1 species